GCGUGGUUGAGAUCUGACCCGAGCGUUCAGGCGGUGCUCUUUCAGGACUCUGGCCUCCGAGGAACAAGUACGACUGGAGACAGGACAUACGAAGACAAAACCAACUAAUUAAACAAGCCGAUCAGCAUCUGAAUAACAAAGGACUACAAGUGCAAAGGUGAACAUGAACCAUUGAUUCUGGAUGUCCCAGCACACGCAGCUGGAUCUCUUACGCGUCUUCUGGACAGCCACGGUCGCACUAAUCUGAAGCUCGGCCGAGUGCUGUAGACGACCAGUCCGCCGAGGAGACAGCCCAGCACGCUGAACACAGCCAGCAGGCUGUAGACCACAUACACUGUGAAACAGGAAGACAGAAACACCAAUCAGAUUCCUACACUUUUCCUGUUUGGAAUAUAAACUUCUGAAGUCCCCUGAUAUAAACUGAACAAAGCUGAUCUCCUGGACGUUUCCACUGCUCGCUUUCUGUGUUAUUACACUACAUCAGAGUUAAUGAAUGUGAGUGCGUUAAUGGCUCUGCUUUGUCCUCAGAAUGAAUAGACUCAAGCUGAUUGUAGAAAAGAGGAGAGACAGACAGACAGACUGCACGUGUGGAUCACCUGUGAGUGUUUGGUUUGCGGUGUCAGAGUGCAACAGGUGUGACGUACGUGAGUCUGUGGGCUGAGGAGGGCUGGUGAAGGCGCAGUGAGCUUCGCCGGUCACAGACUUGAAGUUGAACAGUGUUUUCAGGGAGACGCUCACACAGUACUCCACACCUGGCUGCAGGUACGUGAUCGUGACCUCCUCUUUGUAAGGCUGACUCAGCGUGAACUGCAACACAAUAGACAAAUCAGCUGCUAAAGGCCAGGAACACGUGACCCGUGAAGCAGGAUGUGGUGCUGCAGCAAAUCGUUACCCCAGUCAUUCUUUCCACUGAUCUCCACUGAUUCUGUGCAUUGUUUAAAAUAACGUUUGUUUGUGAGAGUAGGCGACACAAUCCCCAGCUCAUUAAAUCAUUGGCAGCUCUGCCCCUGGCGUCUGCAUUUGGGUCCCACCUCUCGUGCUCCUCGUUAGCCAGCCUGCACAAACCUAACAGUUUAAUCUCUCCAUCACUGCGGCAGGCAGCCGUGGCUUCCCCUUGUUUCUAUCAUCCUCUUUUUACACCCAGAUUUGCCUUAAAGUGGUGGUUUCUGUAGGCGGUGCUUGUGUAUUUCUUUGUUCAGCUGUCCCUGCUCGCCGUAACUCACAGUCUCUCGUGAUUCCACAGAAGUUAUUGUUGCAGUUACUGAAGUGAAGCUGAUGCGUUUCACUUCCUGUGUCAGAGUUCUGUAGUUGCUUUUUUUUUUUUUCCAAGAAACAGCUGCCAAACACCAGGUGUUUGCUUCAUACGGCAGGAAACAGGCCGAAUCUCUGACGUGUCAAACGCUCUCCACUGAAUCUUCUCCGUAAACCUGCUAGAUGAAGAAAAUAAAAAGGCUCCCAGUGUUUCCUGAA